UACGGAGGGGGCGAGCGUUAUUCGGAAUUAUUGGGCGUAAAGGGCGCGUAGGCGGCCCGGUAAGUCAAAGGUGAAAUCCCUCGGCUCAACUGAGGAACUGCCUUUGAAACUGUCGGGCUUGAGGCCGGGAGGGGGUAGCGGAAUUCCCAGUGUAGCGGUGAAAUGCGUAGAUAUUGGGAGGAACACCGGUGGCGAAGGCGGGUCUCUGGGCCGAUACUGACGCUGAGGAGCGAAAGCGUGGGGAGCGAACAGG
rnacentral:rRNA from 1 species